rnacentral:rRNA from 1 species
GACGAACGCUGGCGGCGUGCUUAACACAUGCAAGUCGAACGGGAUCCGGGCUUUCGGGUUUGGUGAGAGUGGCGAACGGGUGAGUAACACGUGAGUAACCUGCCCCCUUCUUUGGGAUAACGUCGGGAAAUCGGCGCUAAUACUGGAUAUUCUUGCUGCAUCGCAUGGUGUGGUUUGGAAAGGGUUUCUGGUGGGGGAUGGGCUCGCGGCCUAUCAGCUUGUUGGUGGGGUGAUGGCCUACCAAGGCUUUGACGGGUAGCCGGCCUGAGAGGGUGUCCGGCCACACUGGGACUGAGACACGGCCCAGACUCCUACGGGAGGAAGCAGUGGGGAAUAUGGCACGAUGGGCGCAAGCCUGAUGCAGCGACGCCGAGUGAGGGAUGACGGCCUUCGGGUUGUAAACCUCUUUCAGUAUGGAACAAGGAUCCUUCGUUUGGGGGGUUUGAGGGUACGUGCAGAAGAAGCGCCGGCUAACUACGUG